rnacentral:lncRNA from 1 species
CUGUCAUUUACUGGAGUGGUUACUUAUCUGUCAAUAUUUCUUCCUUUUUUUUCAAGUCCCAGGCCUACUUGAUCUUGUCCAUUUGGCACUGCUGGAGGAAUAACAAGUUUCUUCCCGUCAUGCACCUUUCUAGGAUACAUCAUGACAGAGAAAUCUCAAAGCCCAGGUCAAUUAUAACAGAAGAUGUGUAGCACCUCUGCCCCCACAGCGUCUUCUGGGGAUCCACUUGGCAAAAUGAUAUAAAACUAUUUUCGAAGACUUCCCAUGAUCUGGCACUACUUAGAACUAAGUGACUGGCAAAAUGUAAGGAAAUAUGCAUAUGCACCUCAGCUCAUCUCCCUCUGUUUGCCAAGGAGCCAACUGACAUUACGUGUGAGGAGGGGCCUGAGGCUGGCAGAGUCCUCGCUGAAGGAAAAUGGAGUGGCUUUGGUAGAAAGGAUCAGACGUGCUUUCAGCACAGCCCUGCUCUGGACAGCUCGUGGUUUGCAGAAGGGCAGAGGUCUGCCUGCAAGUUACCACAGCAGGAAAGGGGACAGCUCACAGGGCAGCAGUCAGCAAGAUCUGGUACAAAGCACCACCCAACAAAUUCUGCCCCCCUUAAAACUGUUGCUGUCAACAUCAGAACUGCUCUUUUUGCCAACAGUUUAAAUGAUGACUGGGCAUGGACCUUAAUGCUGCAACCCGGAAUAAGCAAAAUGCCAGGAUUAAAAUUCUUCAAGAGGUGCUGAUUUAACUCCUGUGGGGUGUCCCUGCUGCCCUCCCUCCCUUGAAAUUCGAAGCAGCAGCAGCAGCAGCAGCAUCUACAGUAAUGGAGAUCAGCUGUGUAAUCUAAGCAAAAGCCAGGAGUUUUGGACACCAGGAAAACAGCCCUUCCCACUCCCUGCCUCAUGGAAGGAAAGACAUUGUGCCCAUGGAUGUAGGGCCCCAGGGUGGUUUUAAAUUAGCUGAAGACUCCUGCAUGAAGUUUGACUGCAAGAACAGUGUGGUAAAACACAUAUUACCACUUUCCUACAUUAUUGUUAAUCACUAUUUUCUAGAACAGUUAAACUGCCAUCCCCUUCCAGAGAAUAAUUACUGCUAUUUAAUUGUAUUUAU